UACGGAGGAUGCGGGCGUUAUCCGGAUUUAUUGGGUUUAAAGGGUGCGCAGGUUGUUUGAUAAGUCAGUGGUGAAAGUCUGUCGCUUAACGGUAGGAUUGCCAUUGAUACUGUUGGACUUGAAUAUGGAUGAGGUAGGCGGAAUGUGUAGUGUAGCGGUGAAAUGCAUAGAUAUUACACAGAACACCGAUUGCGAAGGCAGCUUACUAAUCCAUCAUUGACGCUGAGGCACGAAAGCGUGGGGAUCAAACAGGA
rnacentral:rRNA from 1 species